GCGGGCCUUCGCUCAGGUCAGGGCGCUGACCCGGGCGCGGUCGACGACGACCACGCGCUGGGCGUCGCCGUAGUCCCACUCGACGAUCUCGCC
rnacentral:tRNA from 1 species